rnacentral:lncRNA from 1 species
GCUGAUGUGGCAAAUGGUCACUCUUUUCCCGGCCAGUGUUUACAGCUCAUAAAUUCCCCAAAUGGGCGCUUGAACCCUAAAUUCCCCAUUGACGCUCGCUCGCUCGAUCCAAGACCUCACGCUCGAAUUCAGGCCUCACUCUUGAAUCGGCUGCAGUCCAUGGCGUCAUCCACGAGCUUCUCGGCUAGCUCCUCCACGGGACGCAGGUCCUAUUCUAGUGGUACGGCGGCAGCGACACUGUCGCCGGUGCCAUAUCAUGAGGGUCCGUUGCAGUACAAGUUAGUGUUGUGCGGAUGCGGAGUGAAAGCCCGUCGGCAGAAGCCUGUUGAAUCCAGGGCGAAGGUACCAGGAAAUCAAAGGUGUGUUCUUGCUGUUCUUUGUGUGAGCCUAUUUUCUUGGAGAAGUCCAUUGUUAGCUGAUUGCAAUGCAAUUUCAGGGUCUGGACUGUUGGUGAAUCGUGGCAUGAUGUUGCUGAAUCGUCUGAAAAAAGAGAAGAUGUAAUUGAAGAAUCUCGCUCUAGGCUGAAGCUUGCAUGGCGAAGGUAGUUGACUGGAGAUGGGCAUGAGGUUGUUUGUGAAUGAGAUGCAAUUCAAGCACGCAGCAGUAGUAGAAUUAGGUCCUUAAGUAGAAGACUUGCAGAUAAAAUUAACAAGAUUUAGAUCGUGAGUAGUGCCUGUUGUAAUUCACAUGAGUAGUGCUUCAUGCUGAGAAUUUAUAAGAAAAUGUCUGUAGGAUGUUCAGAAGAUUGGAUUUUUCAGAAAAAAAAUUCCUCAGCGUAAGCACACAAUUCUGCAUAACUGAGCAUAAACGCCUCUGCCUCUAGUUCUCCUGUGUAGUCAGCCUGUCCAUUUUUCCUCUCAAAUGAGCCGGCUUAAUGAUAUCUGGCCAACAAGUAAUCAAGUGGAUCUCGCGGAUCCAUACGAGCUGCAAAAUGAAUGAAUUUCUUAUCAGUUAUACUUACAGAGUAAACAAAUGCAAU